UACGGAGGGGACUAGCGUUGUUCGGAAUUACUGGGCGUAAAGCGCGUGUAGGCGGGCCGUUAAGCCGGGGGUGAAAGCCCAGAGCUCAACUCUGGAACUGCCUUCGAUACUGGCGGCCUGGAGCAUGAUAGAGGCGAGUGGAAUUGCGAGUGUAGAGGUGAAAUUCGUAGAUAUUCGCAGGAACACCAGUGGCGAAGGCGACUCGCUGGAUCAUUGCUGACGCUGGGACGCGAAAGCGUGGGGAGCAAACAGG
rnacentral:rRNA from 1 species